rnacentral:tRNA from 1 species
GAUCGAUCUGCUGGGGGCGUUGCUGGAGCGGUUGGGCUCGCCGCGCGAGCGCUGAGACGCCGGUUUUCCGGCCGCGCGGCGCGGCUGUCGAUCCC